CGUUUUACUGCUAUCCGGUGGCUCGAUCUUCACUCAAUGGAUGUUUAGGGUGACUUUCCGACAUCCAUGACUAUAUUUCCAGUAAGGCUUGCAACGGUUGCACCUAGGGUUUUCUCUGAUUGACUGAAGGUCGAUCUUCUCCGGUCGCGAAGAAGGAGGGUAACUCUGUACUUCUCUUGAGUAUUGUAUACUUUGUGUGUGAUUAUUUGGCAUCGUGUGUGAAUAUCUGGUUUCGUGAUAUUUUGCUUGUCGAAACUGUUUUUCUUUUCAAAUUGGUGCAUUAAUCAUGACUUCUAAUACGAAUACUGGUACCUCCUCCUCGGUAGACUCUACCAGUCCUCUAUUUGUAUACUCCUCUGAUGUGCCUGGGGUCUCUCUUGUUC
rnacentral:lncRNA from 1 species